rnacentral:rRNA from 1 species
GCUUAUACAUGCAGUCGAGGGGUAACAGGGUCUUCGGAUCGCUGACGACCGGCGCACGGGUGCGUAACGCGUAUGCAACCUACCUCCAACUGGGGAAUAGCCCCGAGAAAUCGGGAUUAAUACCCCAUAAUAUUCAUCAUUCGCAUGUUUGAUGAAUUAAAGUUCCGACGGUUAGAGAUGGGCAUGCGUGACAUUAGCUAGUUGGUGAGGUAACGGCUCACCAAGGCAACGAUGUCUAGGGGUUCUGAGAGGAUUGUCCCCCACACUGGUACUGAGACACGGACCAGACUCCUACGGGAGGCAGCAGUAAGGAAUAUUGGUCAAUGGACGAAAGUCUGAACCAGCCAUGCCGCGUGCAGGAUGACUGCCCUAUGGGUUGUAAACUGCUUUUUUAUAGGAAGAAACUUCCGGACGUGUCCGGAACUGACGGUACUAUACAAAUAAGGACCGGCUAACUCCGUGCCAGCAGCCGCGGUAAUACGGAGGGUCCAAGCGUUAUCCGGAUUUAUUGGGUUUAAAGGGUGCGCAGGCGGAAUGAUAAGUCAGUGGUGAAAACCUACAGCUCAACUGUAGACCUGCCAUUGAUACUGUCAUUCUUGAGUACAGUGGAAGUGGGCGGAAUGUAUCAUGUAGCGGUGAAAUGCAUAGAUAUGAUACAGAACACCGAUAGCGUAAGCAGCUCACUAUACUGAAACUGACGCUCAGGCACGAAAGCGUGGGGCUUAUACAUGCUUAUACAUGCUUAUACAUGCUUAUACAUGCUUAUACAU